rnacentral:lncRNA from 13 species
CUUUCUACUUUUUAUGGUGUUCUGAGCUAUUUGAUUAUGAAAUUAGCAAUUAUCUCCAUGCAGAUACACUGGAACAGUGGUCCUUAAAUUUUUUCAUGCAUCAGAAUCCCCUGGAGGGCUUGUUAAAACACAAACAGCUGGGCCCCACACCCGGAGUUUCUAAUCGGUAGGUUUGAGGCAGGGACUGACAAUUUACAUUUCUAAGUUACCAGGUGAUGCUGAUGCUCCUGCUGACACUCCUCACCCAGGGAUCACACUUUGAGAACUGCUGCUCUGGAUAACAGCAACAUCUCCACCAGCAUUUCUGAAAAUUUAAUGUGCGUGCAACUCUCCCGGUUACCCUAUUAAAUUGCGUGCAAAGCAUGUGGGGAACUUAGGAAAAUGCAGAUUCUUACUUGGAAAGCUAAGGGAACCUCCUAAAAUGCCAUCUAUGGGUAGAGAAAGGAUCAUGGUUGAUAACAACAAACAAAAAGCCAUUCGUUUGUCACAGUAGCACUUCCUGGGAGAGUGUCAAUGACCAGAUACCAAAUGGAUAAAGCCCACCUGGGAAUAAAGGAGACACAGAGUAAAUUAAUGACA